AACGAACGCUGGCGGCAGGCCUAACACAUGCAAGUCGAGCGAGGACUUCGGUUCUAGCGGCGGACGGGUGAGUAACGCGUGGGAAUGUGCCCUUCUCUACGGAAUAGCCCUGGGAAACUGGGAGUAAUACCGUAUACGCCCUUUUGUGGAAAGAUUUAUCGGAGAAGGAUCAGCCCGCGUUGGAUUAGUUUGUUGGUUGGGUAAUGGCCUACCAAGCCGACGAUACAUAGAUGGUUUGAGAGGAUGAUCAGCCACACUGGGACUGAGACACGGCCCAGACUCCUACGGGAGGCAGCAGUGGGGAAUAUUAGAAAAUGGGGGCAACCAUGAAAGAGCCAUGACGGGUGAGUGAUGAAGGCCUUAGGGUAGUAAAGCUCUUUCAGCUGGGAAGAUAAUGACGGUACCAGAAGAAGAAGCCACGGCUAACUACGUG
rnacentral:rRNA from 1 species